rnacentral:snoRNA from 1 species
GUGCACAGUGAACACCCAUGGGUGCUUUUGUAGCUCUUCUUGGUCUUGAACACUGCUACAGUAAUGUGUGGUCUACACCUCAGCAGUAGAAGACUCCCUUCUUACUACAUAUAUUCAUGGGACCAACAAAAAA